rnacentral:rRNA from 1 species
GCCACGGUCCCAGAUUCCUUCCGGGAGGCAACCAGUAGGGAAUCUUCCGCAAUGGGGGGAAAGCCUGACGGAGCAACCGCCGCGUGAGUGAUGAAGGUCUUCGGAUCGUAAAAACUCUGUUAUUAGGGAAGAACAUAUGUGUAAGUAACUGUGCACAUCUUGACGGUACCUAAUCAGAAAGCCACGGCUAACUACGUGCCAGCAGCCGCGGUAAUACGUAGGUGGCAAGCGUUAUCCGGAAUUAUUGGGCGUAAAGCGCGCGUAGGCGGUUUUUUAAGUUCUGAAAGGAAAGCCCACGGCUCAACCGUGGAGGGUCAUUGGAAACUGGAAAACUUGAGUGCAGAAGAGGAAAGUGGAAUUCCAUGUGUAGCGGUGAAAUGCGCAGAGAUAUGGAGGAACACCAGUGGCGAAGGCGACUUUCUGGUCUGUAACUGACGCUGAUGUGCGAAAGCGUGGGGAUCAAACAGGAUUAGAUACCCUGGUAGUCCACGCCGUAAACGAUGAGUGCUAAGUGUUAGGGGGUUUCCGCCCCCUUAGUGCUGCAGCUAACGCAUUAAGCACUCCGCCUGGGGAGUACGACCGCAAGGUUGAAACUCAAAGGAAUUGACGGGGACCCGCACAAGCGGUGGAGCAUGUGGUUUAAUUCGAAGCAACGCGAAGAACCUUACCAAAUCUUGACAUCCUUUGACAACUCUAGAGAUAGAGCUUUCCCCUUCGGGGGACAAAGUGACAGGUGGUGCAUGGUUGUCGUCAGCUCGUGUCGUGAGAUGUUGGGUUAAGUCCCGCAACGAGCGCAACCCUUAAGCUUAGUUGCCAUCAUUAAGUUGGGCACUCUAAGUUGACUGCCGGUGACAAACCGGAGGAAGGUGGGGAUGACGUCAAAUCAUCAUGCCCCUUAUGAUUUGGGCUACACACGUGCUACAAUGGACAAUACAAAGGGCAGCGAAACCGCGAGGUCAAGCAAAUCCCAUAAAGUUGUUCUCAGUUCGGAUUGUAGUCUGCAACUCGACUACAUGAAGCUGGAAUCGCUAGUAAUCGUAGAUCAGCAUGCUACGGUGAAUACGUUCCCGGGUCUUGUACACACCGCCCGUCACACCACGAGAGUUUGUAACACCCGAAGCCGGUGGAGUAACCUUUUAGGAGCUAGCCGUCGAAGGUGGGACAAAUGAUUGGGGGAAGUCGAACCAAGGUAGCCUUAGG